GGGCGUGGAGGGGGCGCCCGCGUGGGGUCGGCCGCGGCCGGGCAGAGUUGGCGCGCCAGGGCGUGGAAGCCGCCGGAGGAUCCCGCCUGUCGCAGCGGGGACGCGUGUGGGCCCCUGCUCCCAGGCCACUUCGCGCGCGCGCCCCCCACAUCCUCCUCGGGACACUUGUCCCUGGAUCCUCUACCCCUGGCCGGCCCGAGGCCGCCUUCUCGGGAAGCCCCACCAGCCCCCAAGGGUGUUUUCCCUUGGCUACCUGCGCUGCGAGGAGAGAAGGGAAUUCAGAGAAGGGGGCACUGGAAUUGAUCUAUACGGAUCAGAAAGACCGACAGCCCGCUCUCAGCAGCCUCUUGGAUACGCUUCACUUUCUGUCCAGGCACAUAAACACCACGGCACCAACCCUUCGUCCUCCCUAGUAGCCCAUACUUGUGGAGGAAGAAAAGGAAAAUAAACUGGCAUGUAUUAAUUACAAUGGGCCAGGCACCGUGCUAGAGCGCUGUGUAUAUGAUUUCACCUCUUUAGAAUACAAAUGUGCACAUUUUAUUAGUAUUACUGGAAGGAGGGUGGUAGAGAAAACAGUAAGGACGUGUUUUCUCUCACAAUCUGACACAUCUAUGAUUGAGUGAUUGAUUGUUUUUCAUUUAACAAUUAUUAGGCCUUACCAGGCUUAGCAGGCACAGUUGUAGGUGCUGGGAAUACAGCGUUGUACAAAACAGAAAAGAUACUGCUUCUUGACGUUCUAGCAGGCAAGCCUCUCUCGUCUUAUAAUUCCUAAUAACAAUUUAAUAGCUUGUCUUUCUCUUGUUUUAGGUCACACUCCUUCAGCUUCCCCGUUUCUGAAUCCCAGGUCUAUCCACGGCCUUCUCAACAGAUGACUUCAAGUUGAUUUCGUGCUUUAUUUCUUAAGAAUAGUGACUAACCUAAGGGAUCUGAUUCAAUUUAUUAGGAACACAGUGCCACCUUCCAAAAUUACUUACCUAAGAGGACUGAGCCUGCUGUCCCUGGAGCAGUUAGCUAAAACAGUGCCUCAGUACGGAGCGUACCUGUGUUAACUUCUAGAGUGCUGUUUCCGGCAGCUGCUGAAAUCCACGCUGAGGUUAUCAAGCUCAUCCUACAAAAUAAAGCAAGUUCUUCGCAAUUUAAAGCAAAAAUCUGGGCUUAUUUUUAGGGUUUUGGGGGAUGUGAAAGUUGUCUUAGAUAAGAUUCCAGGAAAGCUAAGAACUAACGAUGCAAUUACAGUCACCUUUCAACAACUUUGGGGAUUGGGUUGAGGAAGGUGUGAAAUUGGGAAAUAUAAUAAAAGGUAUUAUAUUAGUGACUUUCUAGAGUAGCCCUUGGCAGUCCUGUCUUUAAAGAGUAAUAACUGGAAAAAAAAAUGAAUGAUAAUACACUGCAUCCAAGAACCUUGCCUCUGGUGAGGGUAAUUUGCAAACGCAUUUUGGGAUAAUGUUCAGCAUUCAAUAUAAUCUUCCCUGGAAUUAGCAAUGCCUUUUGGGUCAGAGUUUCUUAGGUUUCUUCAGUCAUACAAUUAAAAUUGUUUCUGGAUUAUAUUGCCCAUAUUUGUUUCUAAUUCUCCAUUUUGCCUGUGUUUUAACUGCUAGCGAUUAAUAACUGCCAUAUAAUAAGCUAAGCAUUUAUUAUGUUUCAGGCACUGUUCUAACUGCAUUAAAAUAAUAUCUCAUUUAAUUCUCAUAAAUUUUGAGAAAAGUUUUAUUAUUCCUAUUUUACAGUUGAGUAAACUGAGGCUUAAAGUUAAGCAUAUUGUCCAAGGUGCCUCCACUCCUUAGUCAUAAGCUAAAUUUGAUCUGAGUGACUCCAAAACCUGUUCUCUUAAUGGUUAUGCUGAAAUGCCCUUCUUAGAAUGAUUCCUCAGGAAGUCAAAUGCUAGGUAUAUAGUACAACCACUUUGGAAAACUGGCAAUAUCUGUUAAAGUUAAACAUAUGAAAACCCUAUGGCCCAGCAGUUCCACGCUUAGGAAUAUACCAAUGUCCCAUGUGUGCCAAAAGACUAUUAAAUCACUCAGAGCAACCCUAUUCAUAAAUAACCCCCAACCAGGAAACAACCCAAAUGGUCAUAAACAGUAAAAUAGAUAAAUAAUUGGUGGUAUAUUCAUACAACAGAGUACAUUCUACCACACUAAGAAUGAACAAUCUGCUUCCAAAUGCAGUAAAAUAUAUGAACCUUACAAAUGUGCUAAGUGAAAAAAGGGAGAUGUACAAUUGCGGGACUCCAUUUAUGUGAAGUACAGAAACAGACAAAAGUCAUUGAUGCUAUUCAAAGUCAGGAUAGUGGUUACCCUUGAGAGAGAGCUGAUGACUAGGAGAGAACACCAAUCGGCUUCUGGGGAGCUGGUAGUGUUGUUUCUUGAGCUGGGUACUGGUGUGUUCAGUUUGUGAAAAUUCAUUGAGCUGUACUAUUGAUAUAUGCAUCUCUGUGUAUGUAAAUUAUGCUUCAAUAAAAAGCUUUAAAAUGCUGUGUAUAUAUAAAUGCAUAUGAGUAUUGCUUGUGUACAUAUGAGUACCUAUAUAAUACUUCGUUUUUU
rnacentral:lncRNA from 10 species